GAGACACGAAAUGCAUUUCAGGCUCUGGACUUGGAGAAUAAUGCGGAGACUUGUUUGGAUACGGGCGUGGAUCCUAUUUCUGGACCGUCUUUCGGGAUUCAUUUAUCUGAGCCGGAUUUGUUGGACAAAAUACUGGUUCCGAUUCAGGGGAAUAAAGAUGUGAUUAAAGAUAGUGACUUGGUCAUUAACGAGGAGGACUCUGAUGUGGAGGAAACUUUGGAGAUGGAGGCUCCGGAUGGCACGGGUUUGAACAAACCGAUUAUUGACGAAACAACAGUUGCUCUCGAACGUGACCCAACUUUGGACAAAAGCGGGGGUGUUUCGCAUGAAGGUAACAAGGAUUUGGCCGCUCUUGGGCCGGACAAUAUUACUAGUCGCAUUAGUCGGUUAGAGGAGCAGGUUAGUCAGGGGAUGCAAUUACUCUCGGACAAGACGACCAAGCGGGGACGUGGC
rnacentral:lncRNA from 1 species